rnacentral:rRNA from 1 species
AACGAAGCAUUUGCGACAGAUUUUUUCGGAAUGAAGUUGCUUAUGACUGAGUGGCGGACGGGUGAGUAACGCGUGGGUAACCUGCCUUGUACUGGGGGAUAGCAGCUGGAAACGGCUGGUAAUACCGCAUAAGCGCACAAUGUUGCAUGACAUGGUGUGAAAAACUCCGGUGGUAUAAGAUGGACCCGCGUCUGAUUAGCUAGUUGGUGAGAUAACAGCCCACCAAGGCGACGAUCAGUAGCCGACCUGAGAGGGUGACCGGCCACAUUGGGACUGAGACACGGCCCAGACUCCUACGGGAGGCAGCAGUGGGGAAUAUUGCACAAUGGAGGAAACUCUGAUGCAGCGACGCCGCGUGAGUGAAGAAGUAACUCGUUAUGUAAAGCUCUAUCAGCAGGGAAGAUAGUGACGGUACCUGACUAAGAAGCUCCGGCUAAAUACGUGCCAGCAGCCGCGGUAAUACGUAUGGAGCAAGCGUUAUCCGGAUUUACUGGGUGUAAAGGGAGUGUAGGUGGCCAUGCAAGUCAGAAGUGAAAAUCCGGGGCUCAACCCCGGAACUGCUUUUGAAACUGUAAGGCUAGAGUGCAGGAGGGGUGAGUGG